rnacentral:rRNA from 1 species
GGUUACCUUGUUACGACUUAGCCCCAGUCACCGGUUUUACCUUAGGGCGCUCCUUGCGGUUGCACACUUCAGGCACUCCCGGCUUCCAUGGCUUGACGGGCGGUGUGUACAAGGCCCGGGAACGUAUUCACCGCGCCGUGGCUGAUGCGCGAUUACUAGCGAAUCCAGCUUCAUGGAGUCGGGUUGCAGACUCCAAUCCGAACUGAGACAGGCUUUGAAGUUCCGCUCUGCGUCGCCGCAUCGCUUCUCUCUGUACCUGCCAUUGUAACACGUGUGUCGCCCCGGACGUAAGGGCCGUGCUGAUUUGACGUCAUCCCCGCCUUCCUCACAGCUUGCGCCGGCAGUCUCGCCAGAGUCCCCAACUUUACCCGCUGGUAACUGGCGAUGGGGGUUGCGCUCAUUAUGGCACUUAAGCCGACACCUCACGGCACGAGCUGACGACAACCAUGCAGCACCUCGACGGAUGCCCCGAAAGGCU